rnacentral:tRNA from 1 species
GUCCCUGUAGAGCAAUAAAUAGCGCGUUGGACUUCUGAUUCAAAGGUCGUAGUAUCGAAUCCCACCUGGGAUA